AUUGAACGCUGGCGGCAGGCCUAACACAUGCAAGUCGAACGCGUGGCGGACGGGUGAGUAAUGUCUGGGAAACUGCCCGAUGGAGGGGGAUAACUACUGGAAACGGUAGCUAAUACCGCAUACCAUCGGAUGUGCCCAGAUGGGAUUAGCUAGUAGGUGGGGUAACGGCUCACCCAGGCGACGAUCCAUAGCUGGUCUGAGAGGAUGACCAGCCACACUGGAACUGAGAGACGGUCAAGAGUCCUAGGGGAGGCAGCAGUGGGGAAUAUUGCACAAUGGGCGCAGGCCUGAUGCAGCCAUGCCGCGUGUAUGAAGAAGGCCUUAGGGUUGUAAAGUACUUUCAGCGGGGAGGCGUUACACGCAGAAGAAGCACCGGCUAACUCCGUGCCAGCAGCCGCGGUAAUAC
rnacentral:rRNA from 1 species